GAUGAACGCUGGCGGCGUGCCUAAUACAUGCAAGUCGAGCGAACGGACGAGAAGCUUGCUUCUCUGAUGUUAGCGGCGGACGGGUGAGUAACACGUGGAUAACCUACCUAUAAGACUGGGAUAACUUCGGGAAACCGGAGCUAAUACCGGAUAAUAUUUUGAACCGCAUGGUUCAAAGGUGAAAGACGGUCUUGCUGUAACUUAUAGAUGGAUCCGCGCUGCAUUAGCUAGUUGGUAAGGUAACGGCUUACCAAGGGAACGAUGCAUGGCCGACCUGAGAGGGGGAUCGGCCACACUGGAAGUGAGACACGGUCCAUACUCCUACGGGAGGCAGCAGUAGGGAAUGUUCGGCAAUGGGGGAAAGCCUGACGGAGCAACGCCGAGUGAGUGAUGAAGGUCUUCGGAUCGUAAAACUCUGUUAUGAGGGAAGAACAUAUGUGUAAGGAACUGUGCACAUCUUGACGGUACCUAAUCAGAAAGCCACGGCUAACUACGUG
rnacentral:rRNA from 1 species